rnacentral:rRNA from 1 species
CCUACGGGUGGCAGCAGUGAGGAAUAUUGGUCAAUGGGCGGAAGCCUGAACCAGCCAAGUAGCGUGCAGGAUGACGGCCCUACGGGUUGUCAACUGCUUUUAUACGGGAAUAACGCGCCUUACGUGUAGGGCUUUGCAUGUACCAUAUGAAUAAGGACCGGCUAAUUCCGUGCCAGCAGCCGCGGUAAUAAGGAAGGUCCGGGCGUUAUCCGGAUUUAUUGGGUUUAAAGGGAGCGUAGGCCGCAUGUCAAGCGUGCUGUGAAAUGUCCGGGCUCAACCCGGGCCUUGAAGCGCGAACUGGCGUGCUUGAGUCCGCGGACAGCAGGCGGAAUUCGUCGUGUAGCGGUGAAAUGGUUAGAUAUGACGAAGAACCCCGAUUGCGAAGGCGGCCUGCUGGACUGAAACUGACGUUGAGGCUCGAAAGCGUGGGGAGCAAACAGGAUUAGAUACCCUAGUAGUC